rnacentral:piRNA from 1 species
UGACCAUUACAAUUGGGCUGCGCUACCUAC